rnacentral:lncRNA from 1 species
UUUCAUAUUAUUCAUUUCUCAUUAACUUGAUUUUCCGAUUUUAUAAUAAUAUUUUUUUGGCUUUUGGACUAACCAAGAUUAUGACCCAAUCCAAGACUGACAAAAUUACAUGCGUAAACCUAUGGACGCUAUCCCACGCAUAAGCUCCUAGAGGUUAUCCCAUGCAUAAGUUUAUAACGCUAUCCCACGCGUAAACCGGUGGAAGCUAUCCCACGCAUAAACUCGUAAAGGCUAUCCCACGCAUAAGCCUAUAGACACUAUCCCAUAACAAGGUGAGUCCAAACCAUAUCUUAUCCGUCUAAUUUAGAUGUUACUCUUGUUAAAUCAAUUUCUACUAAUAUAAUGCAUUUUUCUCAAAUUCAAGGUAUCAUCAUUUACAUAACCAUGCUUUUAAUAACUAAUACAUAAAUUAUGCAUACAAGUAUAUUC